rnacentral:rRNA from 1 species
UACAGAGGGUGCGAGCGUUAAUCGGAGUUACUGGGCGUAAAGGGCGCGUAGGCGGUAGGAUGUGAGUGAUGUGAAAGCCCUGGGCUUAACCUAGGAAGCGCAUCGCAGACUAUCUUACUGGAGUAGAUGAGAGGGUGAUGGAAUUUCCGGUGUAGCGGUGAAAUGCGUAGAGAUCGGAAGGAACGUCGAUGGCGAAGGCAGUCACCUGGCAUCAUACUGACGCUGAAGCGCGAAAGCGUGGGGAUCGAACAGG